AGCAGCCGCGGUAAUUCCAGCUCCAAUAGCGUAUAUUAAAGUUGUUGCAGUUAAAAAGCUCGUAGUUGAACUUCGGGGUUUACUCAUUGGUCAGGCCUAAUUGUCUGUACUGGUGAGAUGAAUCUCUACCUUCUGAGGAACUUUCAUGCCAUUUAUUUGGUGUGGUUGGAAAUCAGGACUGUUACUUUGAAAAAUUAGAGUGUUUAAAGCAGGCUAACGUCUGAAUACAUUAGCAUGGAAUAAUGAAAUAGGACGGAUUGAUUCUAUUUCGUUGGUUUCUAGGGUCACCGUAAUGAUUAAUAGGGAUAGUUGGGGGCAUUAGUAUUCAAUUGUCAGAGGUGAAAUUCUUGGA
rnacentral:rRNA from 1 species